rnacentral:rRNA from 1 species
GAGGGGCAGCGGGUUGAAAGCUUGCUUUCAAUGCCGGCGACCGGCGCACGGGUGCGUAACGCGUAUCAAACCUGCCUCAUACUCGGGGAUAGCCUUGCGAAAGUAAGAUUAAUACCCGAUGUUGUUGCUUUCUCGCAUGGGAGAGUAACCAAAGAUUUAUCGGUAUGAGAUGGUGAUGCGUCCGAUUAGGUAGUAGGCGGGGUAACGGCCCACCUAGCCUUCGAUCGGUAGGGGUUCUGAGAGGAAGGUCCCCCACACUGGAACUGAGACACGGUCCAGACUCCUACGGGAGGCAGCAGUGAGGAAUAUUGGUCAAUGGGCGAGACCUGAACCAGCCAAGUAGCGUGCAGGAUGACGGCCCUCCGGGUUGUAAACUGCUUUUAGUUGGGAAUAAAAAAAGGGACUUGUCCCUUCUUGUAUGUCCUUCAGAAAAAGGACCGGCUAAUUCCGUGCCAGCAGCCGCGGUAAUACGGAAGGUCCAGGCGUUAUCCGAAUUUAUUGGGUUUAAAGGGAGCGUAGGCGGAUUGUUAAGUCAGCGGUUAAAGGGUGUGGCUCAACCAUGCAUUGCCAUUGAAACUGGCGAUCUUGAGUGCAGACAGGGAUGCCGGAAUUCGUGGUGUAGCGGUGAAAUGCUUAGAUAUCACGAAGAACUCCGAUCGCGAAGGCAGGUGUCCGGGCUGCAACUGACGCUGAGGCUCGAAAGUGUGGGUAUCAAACAGGAUUAGAUACCCUGGUAGUCCACACAGUAAACGAUGUAUACUCGCGGUUUGCGAUAGAUUGUAAGCCGCCAAGCGAAAGCAUUA